CUCGUAGAGCUUUGCAGAGUCUCCCCAUCCUGUCAUUCCUGCUCAGAACACCUGCCUGUCCCAGCCCAGAUGUGUGUGACUGAUGUGCGGGAGCCCUCCAAAUUGCAGUGCCAGCCAGCACAGGGCUCCCAAUCCAGAUCCAGAUGCCAAAGCGCUUUUCGCCACAAAGAGGCAGAAAUCAGUUUGCCUGCCCCUGGAAAUGCAGUCACCUCUGGGGAGAAACACGGCAGCUGUUUAACCGCACGCAGGAACAGUUCAGGAAUGGAAGUGAAAAAGACUCCUGUGUCCAGCUGAAACUGCAGUAAGAAAAAAGAAGUGUUCUUAUACCUGGAAGUGCC